rnacentral:rRNA from 1 species
UACGUAGGGGGCAAGCGUUGUCCGGAAUCAUUGGGCGUAAAGAGCGUGUAGGCGGUUCGGUAAGUCGGCUGUGAAAGUCCAGGGCUCAACCCUGGGAUGCCGGUCGAUACUGCCGGACUAGAGUUCGGAAGAGGCGAGUGGAAUUCCCGGUGUAGCGGUGAAAUGCGCAGAUAUCGGGAGGAACACCUAUGGCGAAGGCAGCUCGCUGGGACGUUCCUGCCGCUGAGACGCGAAAGCGUGGGGAGCAAACAGG